rnacentral:rRNA from 1 species
UACGUAGGGACCGAGCGUUUGUCCGGAAUCAUUGGGCGUAAAGAGCGUGUAGGCGGCCACUUAAGUCCUGCGUGAAAUCUUGCGGCUCAACCGCAAGCGGUCGUGGGGAAACUGGGUGGCUGGAGUGCGGGAGAGGAGAGUGGAAUUCCUGGUGUAGCAGUGAAAAUGCGUAGAUAUCAGGAGGAACACCGGUGGCGAAGGCGGGGUCUCUGGACAACACCUGACACUGAGGCACGAAAGCUAGGGGAGCAAACAGG